rnacentral:rRNA from 1 species
UACGUAGGGUGCAAGCGUUUAAUCGGAAUUACUGGGCGUAAAGCGUGCGCAGGCGGUUGUGUAAGACAGAUGUGAAAUCCCCGGGCUCAAUCUGGGAACUGCAUUUGUGACUGCACAGCUGGAGUGCGGCAGAGGGGGAUGGAAUUCCGCGUGUAGCAGUGAAAUGCGUAGAUAUGCGGAGGAACACCAGUGGCGAAGGCGGCGACCUGGACAGGUACUGACACUCAACUACGAAAGCGUGGGGAGCGAACAGG